CGAACGCUGGCGGCAUGCCUAACACAUGCAAGUCGAACGAGAAAGCACCUUCGGGUGUGAGUAGAGUGGCGCACGGGUGAGUAACGCGUGGGAACCUGCCAAGCAGUACGGAAUAACGUUUGGAAACGAAUGCUAAUACCGUAUACGCCCUUUUGGGGAAAGAUUUAUCGCUGUUUGAUGGUCCCGCGUCUGAUUAGCUAGUUGGUAGGGUAACGGCUUACCAAGGCGACGAUCAGUAGCUGGUCUGAGAGGAUGAUCAGCCACACUGGGACUGAGACACGGCCCAG
rnacentral:rRNA from 1 species